rnacentral:rRNA from 1 species
CCUACGGGAGGCUGCAGUGAGGAAUAUUGGUCAAUGGGCGAGAGCCUGAACCAGCCAAGUCGCGUGAGGGAGUACUGCCCUAUGGGUUGUAAACCUCUUUUGUCGGGGAGCAAAAGCCGGACGUGUCCGGCUGUGAGAGUACCCGAAGAAAAAGCAUCGGCUAACUCCGUGCCAGCAGCCGCGGUAAUACGGAGGAUGCGAGCGUUAUCCGGAUUUAUUGGGUUUAAAGGGUGCGCAGGCGGUUAAACAAGUUAUAUGUUAAAUAUAUAGGCUUAACCUGUAGAAAGCAUAUAAAACUGUUUAACUAGAGUGCAGGAGAGGUAAGUGGAAUUCCUAGUGUAGCGGUGAAAUGCGUAGAGAUUAGGAAGAACACCAGUGGCGAAGGCGACUUACUGGACUGUAACUGACGCUGAGGCAUGAGAGCAUGGGGAGCAAACAGGAUUAGAUACCCUAGUAGUC